AUUGAACGCUGGCGGCAGGCCUAACACAUGCAAGUCGAACGGUAGCACAGAGAGCUUGCUCUCGGGUGACGAGUGGCGGACGGGUGAGUAACGUCUGGGAAACUGCCCGAUGGAGGGGGAUAACUACUGGAAACGGUAGCUAAUACCGCAUAACGUCGCAAGACCAAAGUGGGGGACCUUCGGGCCUCACACCAUCGGAUGUGCCCAGAUGGGAUUAGCUAGUAGCUGGGGUAAUGGCUCACCUAGGCGACGAUCCCUAGCUGGUCUGAGAGGAUGACCAGCCACACUGGAACUGAGACACGGUCCAGACUCCUACGGGAGGCAGCAGUGGGGAAUAUUGCACAAUGGGCGCAAGCCUGAUGCAGCCAUGCCGCGUGUAUGAAGAAGGCCUUCGGGUUGUAAAGUACUUUCAGCGGGGAGGAAGGCGGUGAAGUUAAUAGCUUAACCGAUUGACGUUACCCGCAGAAGAAGCACCGGCUAACUCCGUGCCAGCCGCCGCGGUAA
rnacentral:rRNA from 1 species